UAGGGAAUAUUGGACAAUGGGGGCAACCCUGAUCCAGCGAUGCCGCGUGUGUGAAGAAGGCCUGCGGGUUGUAAAGCACCUUAGUUGGGGAGGAGAAGGUGCGUAUGAAUAGUGCGCGCUGGAGACGUUACCCAAAGAAUAAGCACCGGCAAACUCUGUGCCAGCAGCCGCGGUAAUACAGAGGGUGCAAGCGUUAAUCGGAAUUACUGGGCGUAAAGCGCGCGUAGGUGGUUAGUUAAGUUGGAUGUGAAAUCCCCGGGCUCAACCUGGGAACUGCAUUCAAAACUGACUGACUAGAGUAUGGUAGAGGGUGGUGGAAUUUCCUGUGUAGCGGUGAAAUGCGUAGAUAUAGGAAGGAACACCAGUGGCGAAGGCGACCACCUGGACUGAUACUGACACUGAGGUGCGAAAGCGUGGGGAGCAAACAGGAUUAGAUACCCCCGUAGUCCCUGAGCGGGCUGGCAAGGCGCAU
rnacentral:rRNA from 1 species